GUCGGGAUAGCUCAGUUGGAGAGCAGAG
rnacentral:tRNA from 1 species